rnacentral:rRNA from 1 species
GAGUUUGAUCAUGGCUCAGAUUGAACGCUGGCGGCAGGCUUAACACAUGCAAGUCGAGCGGAAACGAUGGGAGCUUGCUCCCAGGCGUCGAGCGGCGGACGGGUGAGUAACGCGUAGGAAUCUACCCAGUAGUGGGGGAUAGCCCGGGGAAACUCGGAUUAAUACCGCAUACGCCCUACGGGGGAAAAGCCGGGAUCUUCGGACCGGUCGCUAUUGGAUGAGCCUGCGUUGGAUUAGCUAGUUGGUAGGGUAAAGGCCUACCAAGGCGACGAUCCAUAGCUGGUCUGAGAGGAUGAUCAGCCACACUGGAACUGAGACACGGUCCAGACUCCUACGGGAGGCAGCAGUGGGGAAUAUUGGACAAUGGGCGCAAGCCUGAUCCAGCCAUGCCGCGUGUGUGAAGAAGGCUCUAGGGUUGUAAAGCACUUUCAGUAGGGAGGAAGGCCAGGGAGUUAA